CAAUAGCGUAUAUUAAAGUUGUUGCAGUUAGAACGCUCGUAGUCGGAUUUCGGGGCGGGCCGACCGGUCUGCCGAUGGGUACGCACUGGUCGGCGCGUCCUUCCUUCCGGAGACCGUUCCUACUCUUAACUGAGCGGGGGCGGGAGACGGAUCGUUUACUUUGAAAAAAUCAGAGUGUUUCAAGCAGGCAGCUCGCUCUUGCAUGGAUUAGCAUGGGAUAAUGAAAUAGGACUUUGGUGCUAUUUUGUUGGUUUCGAACACCGAAGUAAUGAUUAAAAGGGACAGUCAGGGGCACUCGUAUUCCGCCGAGAGAGGUGAAAUUCUCAGACCAGCGGAAGACAAACUACUGCGAAAGCAUUUGCCAGGGAUGUUUUCACUGA
rnacentral:rRNA from 1 species